rnacentral:lncRNA from 1 species
CCUGGCAUACUUUAUGUGAGGUUGAAUGUGACAUAAGAAUGUGUAGGAGCCAUACAUGGAAGAGCAACUCAAAAAAUAGCACAAUUCUUGCAGUAAUGUCAUUUACAACACAAUUUUUUUCUACUAAUAAGAAACAGCAAUAAAUUAGAAGUACAAAAUUCCAGAAAAAAAUUCUUUUCUUUUGCCAUUACCCGUCAGGAUUGUCAAUGGCAAAACCAGCUAUCUCUAAUGUUGUGGCGAUGGAGGGGUAUAUGACAUAACCAGGUAGACGGUGCUAAAUACGUGCAAAUUGCAACGUAUAGAGCUGUGUUCCUGAGAACCCUGUUCGUAUGAGCUUAAAUCUGCACGAGCAAUUUCUCCGGUACAAUAGGUUCCUGAGAAAUUAACCCCAGGGAAGUUCUCCAAGAAAGGUAAGCCGUCUACAUUAGGUUCACCAAAAAAUAACUUGCCACGACCACAGCAAGCAAACAUUAUACCACCAAACACAGGCUUCUUGUGCAUAGCUACGCUGUUGCUAUUAGUAUGAUCAUCACGUUCGUAGUUAAGAAGUUGCUUCAAAUGUCUGAAGUUAUUUGCAACAGUGUUGCAAGAAGCACGCGCCAAAUCAGAACUUGCAUGGUAAAACCGGAAGGAGUCUCCACUUCUGAUACCAACACCAUGGACAUACAGAUACUCCUCAUCACCUCUGCAAAUUCUUACAAUUAGUUACAGAAGUGAAGAGGGCAGCGAAAAGUGUACUAGACUAUGAGCAUAGUGGUUUCAACUAAAAUUAACAUGGCUUUCCACGUUAGCAGAAACAAACUUGGGUGAGGAGGACUCCCUAUUCUCUCCAAGAACCAUGUAAACUUCUUGGACAAUAGUCCCUCUACCAGCAUGUGCAAAUCAUCGCCUCAGGACACAAAAAAGGUAGUAAAGACGGAGAGCAGAACAUUCAAACAUCAUAAGUGAAGACCAGAAAUGGAUAAUCAAGUGCAACGGUGCAUUAAUCACCUUAAAACCUCAUGGAAUUCAUGCGUACUUAUCCAGCUUGGUUUUUCCUGGCCAAUAGAGCAUUUCCUUCUCUUCGUAACUCCAACAUAUAGAACUGGACAAUUGUUAUGACCUCCAAGCUGGAAAAAUCAAAUAAUAGAGAAACAUCUCAAGUCAGAGAAUAAUGCGAAUUUGUAUGUAAAGAAAUGGAACUUGGGCCCAAUCUAACCCCACAAGCUAGCUCAUGCGGUGAGGAUUGUCCCAAGAGAAUAUAAAAAGACCAAUUCCUCGUACCCACACCAUUGUGGAAACUCAACACCUUCUCGCACUCCGAUAAUAUAAGAUACGGGUCCAACAUAGAGUAAAAUUGGGAUGAGUCUGGCUCUAAUGCCAUGUAAAGAAAUGGACCUUAGGCAAGGAUUGUCCAAUACCAUAUAUAAAGAAACCAGUUUCCCAUCCCCACACUGAUGUGGAAACUCAACAAUGUUCAUGGGUUGACACACACACACAUGAUGUAUCAUGUACACUAGGAGAGCAAAAUAUAUCAUCACUUAGACAGCUUCUAAGUUCUAAAUGUCAUCACUUAGACAGCUUCUAAGUUCUAAAUGGCCAAGUAAAAAUAAUCUACAGCCCACAAGAAACCUUCACUUUCAAAUUAGGCAUUAUAGAAAGAUUAGUAAACCACUAUGGAACCCGAUUAACAAAAGCAAUUUUAUUUUUUUUGGUUCAUCUCGAGGAUUUUUAUUUUUUUUACGAAGUUUUAUUAUUCAUAUCUUAUUAUAUGCCUUUUGCAAUUGUGCAUGCGACAAUAGAUCAAAUAAUAAACGUACUUCUAUAAAGUAUUCUUAUGAAAAGGGGUAGUAAACAUACUUCUGUAAAACUUUUUAUAGCCUUGAUUUGUAAGGCCCACAUUCUUUGAGAUCUACCAAUGGAAUUUGAAAAUAAGCAAAGACAGAAUGAUAGACUCUAAUCAUCCAAAUAUCUCCAAUCUGCCAUAAUGCAUCUCUCUAAACACAUUGCAUGCUCAUCCCUGCUAAAGUGAGGCAAGAGUAUUCUGGCAUUUGAUGGAUCUCCCCACAAUUCUGAACUUAAAAGGCUUCACUACAGUGGAGGAAUCAGAGGAAGAGGAAACGAGACUAGUUACACUACAUAUCUUGUAAGCAUUUGAUAGUCUCCUUUCUAAACAAACCAGCUGUAAAUUACUUCCUUCAGAAACUAGCUAGUUAAAAGUUAGUGCUGAUACAUUAACUCCAAUUUUCUUCACAAGAUGUACUACCUUACCUCAUCAUAAAUCUGAUCUAAAAUAGUCUGACCAUCCAGACUUCCAUGAACUGCUUCUCUUUUUGCAGUGAGCCAAGUGGAGUAGUCACUGGAUCUCUCCCUAACAGAAACAGCUUUGUAUGUAGGCCCAAUCGAUGAAAUGCCAGUGGAUAACAUUACGUGAAACUGAGUUUCCCCAACACCUGUUUAAAGGAUCCAAGAAAAUGAUUGCCACGAUAAACUCCCUUGGCUUAUAAUUUACUAAAUUAUACAAAGUAACGAGAAUAUUAACUAGAAGAUAAGGAAUCUAAUAUUUUAAACUAUAUUUACGGAUAUAACUGCUAAAAAAGCAGCAGCAUGACUCUAAAAAUACUGAGAAUUUUCAAAAAGUACCAAGGAAAUGCACCUAAAAGAUCAUGAGCAACAACAAAGUUAAAAGAGGAUAAAAUUUCAUUUGAGAAAGCACAUGGGGUAGCACUUACUGAAGUUAUUCAGAAAAAUACAGGUCAAAUGUACUACACGGUGCUCAAGCUAUAAAUGUUUCAGGAUACAAUCGACCGAUUUUGUUAGGACCAAAUUUUCUAGGUCCAUCGUAGCGACCUAGUGAACAAUACAUACUCUUUUUUCAAGGACUGACAUCACUACUUUCCAUGAAUUUUAGAAAUAUGAUCCACCAAUUCCGUAAGGCCCAAAAUUUUGCAGGUCCAUUCGAAUAGACCUAGUGAAAGAUACUUAGUGCCUCUACCAAACUGACGUCACUUUUUUUUUGCAGUUUCGGGGUCACAACAUAAGAAUUUUGGAUUAUCUCAGUUUUUCACGUGUACUUAUACAUGAAUAUUUCGGAAUAUGAUUGACUGACUUCGUUUGACCCCAAAUUGUGGGUCCAUUCAAAACAACAUAAUGAAAGAAACUCAUUGCUUUUCCAUGUUCGAUGUUGUUUUUUUUAGAAUUUUGUAAUCAUGAAAUAGGAAUUCAAUAUUAUCUCGGUUUUUAUGUGUAUUUGGAAUACGAUUGACCAAUAGAAACGACCUAAACAACCAUACUCAUUGUUUCUCAAGGAGCAACAUCGCUUUUUUUUUUGAGUUUCGGGGUCAUGAAAUAAGAAUUCAAAAUUAUCUCAGUUUUUCAUGUGUACCAGUCCAUGAAGUUUUUGAAAAUAUGAUCGACUGACUUUAUUUUGUUUCAUUCUAUUGAUUGGUUCAAGAGUCAUCAUAUUAGUGCCUUGGAGAAAUGCCUACCUGGUUUGGCCCCAAAUCUAGUGGGUCCAUUCAGUACGACCGACUCAACGAUACUCAUUGUUUUUCAAGGACCAGACGUCACUUUGGAAUUUCGGGGUCACGAAACUAGAAUUCACUAUUCAGGAUUAUCUCAACUUUUGGUGUAUAUAUUAGUCGAUGAAUUUUUCGGAAUACGAUCGACAGAAUCCAUUUGGCCCCCAAAUUUUUGUGGGUCCAUUCGGAUGACCUAGUGAACGAUACCUUAUUGCCUCUAUAGGACCAACAUUGCUUAUUUUAGAGUAGGGUCACGAAACAAGACUUAAGGAUUAUCUCAGUUUUUCGUGUGUAUUAAUAGAUGAAGUUUUUGAAAUUCGAUCCACUAAAUAGGUAUGACCCAAAAUUUUGUGGAUCCAUUCAAGACGACCUGUUGAACGAUACUUCUUGUUUCUCAAGGACCAAUAUCGUUUUUUUUUGGAGUUUCGAAACUAGAAUACAGGAUUAUCUCAAGUGUCUAUUAGUCUAUGAUUUUUUCAAGUUUCUGAGGUCACGAAAUAGGAACUCAUGAUUACCUCAAUUUUUCGUGUGUAUAGGUCCAUGAAUUUUAUGACUUCAAAAUACGAUAGACCGACUUUGCUUGGCCCUAAAUUUUGUGGAUCCACUCAAAAUGAACUAGUGAUCGAUACUUUUUGUUUCACAAGGACCAAAGUCGUUUUUUGGAGUUUCAAGGUCACAAAACUAGAAUUCAAGAUUAUCUCAGCUUUUCAAGUGUAGUUCAUGAAAUUUUCAAAAUACAAUUGACCAACUUUGUUUGGCCUCACUUUUGUGGAUCCAUCCAAAACUACCUAAUGAACAAUACUCAUUGUUUCUCAAGGACUAACGUUGCUUUUUUGUAGUUUCGGGAUCACAAAACAGGAAUUCGGAUUAUCUCUGCUUUUUGUGCCUAUUAGUCUGCAUUUUUCAAGUUUUGAGGUCACAACAGGAAUUUAUGAUUAUCUCAGCUUUUCAUGUGUAGUCUAUGAAUUUUAUGAAAUAUGACUGACCAACUCUGUUUGACCCCGUAUUCUUUUGAAGGUCCAUUCGGAACGACCUAAUGAACAAUGCAUAUUGUUUCUUAAGGACCGAUGUUGCUUUUUGGAGUUUCAGGCCACGAAUCUGAAAUUCAGGACUUUCUUAGCUUUUUGUGUGUAUUAGUUCGUGUGUAGUUCAUGUAUUUUCCAGAAUACAAUAAACCGGCUUAAUUUGGCCCCAAAUUUUUUGGGUCUAUUUGAAACAACCUAGUGAACAAUACUCAUUCGUGACAACCUUGUAAAAUAGAGCUUUUGUUAUCAGACAAACAGGAUCACAACUCGAAACCGUAAAAUUUUAAUCAAAAAGCAACACGUACCAGGAGGUUUGCCUCUAUCCCUUGAAAAUAAAAGAGCAACAGCAGCAGAACUCGCCGCUUUGUUAUUAGAAGGAUUAAUUGCAGUUUCACCUCGGUAUAAAAACUGAGAACCUCCGUCACCCACAAUGACAGUCUCAGUGGAAAAGGCAUAAUCUACAAACACGAAAGGUGACACUUAAAAUAUAACUUGUUUCUCACAGAAUCAAAUACAAAGACAAAUCAGCAUCCAUUAAAUGUGAACAAAUAAAGUUUUUCAUAAAUGAACAAUUAUGAAGCCAACUCACCAAACUUUUCAAGGACAAGUUUGAUGUCAGUAUCCUCAUCCUAGAACAACAUUCAAAUGGAUUUUGUUACACUUAAAUGUAAAAAGAAAAAAGGUUGAUCAUAUAUACUAGAAAAGCAAAAACUCCAAUCCCUCAAAGUUCAUUCAAGCAUUUUAAUCCAACUCACUCUAAAUCCAAAUUGACUAGUCCAGGCACUCAUACAGAAUCUGAAUUGCAUAAGAACUAAUUUUAUCCCCUUAUCCACAAUUAUAGAAUAUUAGGCAUCAUUGGAAUAAACUGCUUUGCCACAGGGGUGCCAGAAAUAACAAAAUGAUAGGUUUACAAGACUUUGGACUUACAGAAAAUAACAAAAUCCCCACCGGUGAUGCUGAUCCAGAUCGAGAGAAUGAGCGUUCCCUGACACUGAGCACGAGAUCAUCAAUCAUGAGUACUUGAUUUCCCUGAAAUUUGUUCUCCCCAAGUUAGUAUAUCCCAUUUUGAAUCAAGUUAGCACAAAUUCUCUAGUAGGAACUUCAUAAAAUUUGAACUGAAAAUCAAGUUAAAAGGUGGAAGUUCAAAUUUCUCUCAAUAAGGCAGGCAUUCAUAUUUUAAAGAUAAGUUAGGACUACUGGAGCAAAAAAUUACCCGAGUUUUUGAUAAUGAGAUUAAAUCAAUUGCCAGUCCUGGCAAGAAGCCAACAGUUAGUAAAGCACCGUGGAUCUCAUUACCAAGAUCGGCAUGAGCCUCCUCAUCAUCAUCAAACGUGUCCCACUGAACCUGGAAAAAACAUCAUUUUUCUGCACUUCAAUUCUUGUUAAAAGCAGUCAGAAUGCAAUCCCAAAUAGGUUCUAAUCUAUAUCCAUUAGAUUCACCUCUUCAAACUCAUUAGUGGUAGCAUUUUGCCCAAAAAUUCCUUGGGAUAUCGAAGUAAUUACUGGAAUUUGGGAGCCAAAUCUACCAGCGAUCUGCAGAAAUAAUUCAUAUAAUGAGUGGAAAUGAUGUUAUUGAGGUCACUACUGUAACAAAGUACAGUACUUCAAUUGAAACAACAAAAAGGGGGACUAUAACUAUGCUAAAAAUUAGGUAAAAUGUUUGUAGGUUAUUAUACCCUAACACAAAUUACUACGUAACCAGUUGAUCUCUCCUUUCUUUCUGAUUAAGAACUAGUGGAUCUCUCCUAAAAGCCUUAAGCCAAAAAUGUUCCCAACAAUCCUACAAUUGACUAGAGCAAUUAUAGAGUUUAACAGAUCUGUUACUAAAAUAUUCUUCACUGUAUUUUACUACGCUUCAUUCUCCUAUCUUUUACACAUUAUCUCAUCCUUCUCAGUUCUUCUAUUUCAUAUUAAACCUCUUCAAAAAUACUUUAAUUUUUUUUUUUUGAAAAAUGUUAAGUGGAUUAUAGAUGCAGUGUUAUCAAAGGCGAAAAGCGCAAAAAAGCUCUGAGGUCUGUGGGGGCUUUAAGCACAAAGCGCAAAUAAAGCGCGGGCUUUAAUGAAAAAAGGCACAAAGGGAGAAAAGAAUACAAAUAUAUAUGCUUAGUCCAAGACUAAUAAUUAUAAACAUGAAUGACAAAUAUAUGACCAAAGAAAUUGAAAAAAAAAAUUAUGAUAAAGUGAAAUAUCAAUUAUUUAGUUUCACUUCUUCAUAAGAGGCUCAUUGGCAAGGAAAUGUUUGCCUUAGAACCUUGAUGACGACACUAAAGCGCACAUAAAGCGAGGCGAAACGCUCAACAUGUUUUGAGCCUCGCUUUAGGGCUUAAGCGCGCCUUUGAUAACACUGUAUAGAUGUAGUACCACAAGGUGCUGUCAAACUAUGUUGCUCUGACUCUUCAAAACGCCUUUGGGCGGGUUCUAGGCCCUCCAAAAAUGUGAACCGACACAUGUGCAGCAACAUUUUGGAUAGUCCAAGCAAACAUAGCUGUCAAAAAUAUUUACAAAGCGCCAGAAGAAUACCCAUUCUAUCUUAAAAGGAUUCUAUGAGAUCUAUCACUGCUUCAGCAUCAUUUACAUAACUCUGUUUACACCAAAAAUAAAACAAAAGCAAACAAUUCAUUUUAGUUGACUGGAAUUCCUUCCUCUGAUGUUUCAGUAAUCCAAAAGCUCAGUUAUGUGUCCUGACAUGCUCCAUUUAUACUAAAUUGAAAGUAAAUUCAAGUUGAUUCUUGAAGAAUUGAAUUAUUGCUUAGAACAAAACUAAGGUCAUAAAUUAUUAUGUUAUAUAAUAGAAUAAUACUCUUUAGUCCAAUUUGUAAGACACUUUUAACUCGGUGAUGUACUAAAAUGUGUGCGACCAUUCUAUUAAGGGAAAGGGUUGUAUUUGCUCUCUAUUAUUGAAUGUUCAAUAUUGUCCUCCGUUAUAUUAUUGGUCCACAUAUGCCCUUAAUAUUAUACUAUCUGUCCAUAUAUGCCCUUACAGUUAUAAAAGUGGCUCAAAUUUCCCCUUCCUCUGUUAACUCCAUCCAUUUGCAUACGGCCUACGCUUAGCUUCUACCAGCCACUGAUUAACAACUAUAAUUAUUCAAUCUACAAAAAUGAUGAUGGAACAUCUGAUGUAACAUAUUAGUUUGAUUGUCAUCAAACCCAUAAAUACAAUUUGGACAGUAUCUUUACAUGCCUAUAUCUGCAGAAACUCCCUCAGCAAAUCAAAGGCAGACUAAACAGAGACCUUUUUUCUGUCCAAAAAACUCAAAGCAACUUCCUCAGAAUAAAUCACACUUACGGACCGAAUACAAUUCAAAAUGAUCUGAAAAAUAGUUUGUUGGCUUUAAAACGGGGAGAUGAUGUGCAGUAGAUCAAAACACCUAACAAAUGCAAUACUAAGUAGAAUCAUUAUGUUGGUGAUGAUGGUAGGUGAAGGUGUUGGUGACUUUGGGUUGUGGUGGGAGAAGAAGGAUUGGAGUGGUGAGUUGGCAUGCCAUUUUCAGCAAAUGGAUGGGGUUAUCACUUAUCAGAUGAAGAGCAAAUUUGAGCCACUUUUAUAAAUUUAAGGGCAUAUAUGGACCCGAUAGUAUAACAGUAAGGGCAUAUAUGGACCAAUAGUAUAACAUUAAGGGCAUACAUGGAUCGAUUAUAUUAAGAAGGGCAAUAUUAAACUUUUUUCAAUAGCAGAGAGGCAAAUAUGACAUUUUCCUCUUCUAUUAAUGGCAUUAUUCUAUACAAUUUUCACAACUUGUAAGAGUUUUUUCUAUAGGUAUUUUUUUCAUAAGAAACCUUUUUUUUGAGAAAGUUAACUGGUAUUAUAAACAGAAGGAAGUACACCAAUAGUGUGCUCCUAAGUAGUUACAUCAAAAAUAUGAAGGAACAUCCAAAACAAAUCUAUCACCUAUAUCCAUUAUAGACUAUCUAAAAACAGAGUGAUGUCCCCUAUAUCCUUAGGUACAGAUUGAAUACACCAAAAGUAGAAUGUUGCUAGACAGUUCAUCUUCAUACUUUGGAAGGAAAUGCUCUUGUUCUCAAAACAUCUCUGAUUUCUCUCCUUCCAAAUUGUCCACCAGAUGCAUGCAGGGACAAUCUUCCAUCUCUCCUUGUGUCCUGAUUGAUUUCCAUCCCUAUUCCAACAUGCUAGAGCUUCUACAGUAUGUCUUGGCAUGGCCCAUCUAAUACCCCUGAGAUUAAUGAACCAUUGCCAUAAUUUUUCAGUCACUUUACAGUGUAAAAAAAGAUGGUUUACUGUCUCUGUUUCAGCUUCACAAAAAAAACAUCUGGAGCAUAACUGCCUUCCCCUUUUCAUAAGGUUGUCCUGAGUCAGAACUGCUUGAUGUGCAACUAGCCAGGUGAAACAAGCCACCUUAUGAGGUAUCUUCCCCUUCCAGAUCAUCUUCCAUGGCCAACCUUCCUUGGUUUCAGUUGAGAUAUCCAGUAGCUUGUAUGCUGAUUUCACCUUGAACUUGCCAUCUUUAUCCAUCUUCCACAACAAUCUAUCUUCCUCAAAAUUAAGGCUCUUAGCUUGUUCCAAAGUAUUGUAGAAUUGGAUCAUUCUCUCCACUUCCCAGUCAUUGAGGAAUCUUCUGAAGGACAGAUUCCAACCUUGUGCAUUUUUGAUCUGUGAGAUUGUAGCUAGCUUCUGUUGAUUAAGAUUAUAAAUGUCCGNNNNNNNNNNNNNNNNNNNNNNNNNNNNNNNNNNNNNNNNNNNNNNNNNNNNNNNNNNNNNNNNNNNNNNNNNNNNNNNNNNNNNNNNNNNNNNNNNNNNNNNNNNNNNNNNNNNNNNNNNNNNNNNNNNNNNNNNNNNNNNNNNNNNNNNNNNNNNNNNNNNNNNNNNNNNNNNNNNNNNNNNNNNNNNNNNNNNNNNNNNNNNNNNNNNNNNNNNNNNNNNNNNNNNNNNNNNNNNNNNNNNNNNNNNNNNNNNNNNNNNNNNNNNNNNNNNNNNNNNNNNNNNNNNNNNNNNNNNNNNNNNNNNNNNNNNNNNNNNNNNNNNNNNNNNNNNNNNNNNNNNNNNNNNNNNNNNNNNNNNNNNNNNNNNNNNNNNNNNNNNNNNNNNNNNNNNNNNNNNNNNNNNNNNNNNNNNNNNNNNNNNNNNNNNNNNNNNNNNNNNNNNNNNNNNNNNNNNNNNNNNNNNNNNNNNNNNNNNNNNNNNNNNNNNNNNNNNNNNNNNNNNNNNNNNNNNNNNNNNNNNNNNNNNNNNNNNNNNNNNNNNNNNNNNNNNNNNNNNNNNNNNNNNNNNNNNNNNNNNNNNNNNNNNNNNNCUUCUCUGCAUCACAAAAUACCAAAGUGUCAUCAGCAUAUUGUAAAUGGGAUAUAGAACUUCCCAGAGAGUUUUCUUCAUUCACAAUGAAACCCCUUAUUCUAUUGUUCACCUGAGCACUCUUCAGCAUAUCACUUAAACCUUCCAUGGCCAAGAUGAAGAGAAAAGGAGAUAGGGGGUCUCCUUGUCUCAAUCCUCUCUCGGAAGGAAAGAAACCAGUUGGGGAGCCGUUGAUCAAAACUGAGAACUUCACUGUAGUCAUACAGAAUCUCAUCCAUUUUAUCCAGGUGUUGCCAAAACCCAUCAUCCUUAAUGUUGUCCACAUAUGUUCCCAAUUUAAGUGAUCAUAAGCUUUUUCUAUAUCUAGCUUGCAUAGAAUUCCGGGAACUUUGGAUCUGUAUCUCAUGUCCACACAUUCAUUAGCCACCAAGAUUGCAUCCAUGAUUUGCCUGCCCUUUAUGAAUGCCAUUUGUUGCUCAUCUACUAGCUUUGGCAUAACUUUCUUGAGUCUCUCUGUUAAAACCUUUGAAAUGAUUUUGUAGAUACUUCCAAUCAAGCUGAUUGGCCUGAAAUCUUUCAAUUCAGUUGCACCCACCUUUUUGGGAAUCAGGGCUAUGAAAGUGGCAUUGAAACUUUUUUCAAAGUAGCUCUGAUCAUGAAAAUUCUGAAUGGCAGCCACCACUUCCUGUUUUACCUCUUCCCAACAUUGUUUGAAGAAAGCCAUUGUGAAACCAUCAGGGCCUGGUGCCUUAUCCCCUGCACAUGAAAACACACAAUUUUUAAUCUCCUGUUCUUCAAAUUGGCCUUGCAGAGCUGCAUUGUCUACUUCACUGAUCCUAGAUUGAACUCUAGGAUUGAGCUUGGGUCUCCACACUUCUGUCUCAGUGUAUAGUUUUUGGUAGAAAGUAAUAACUUCAUCUCUGAUCUCAGCUGGUUCAAUCACACUGGAGCCAUUGAUGAUCAAUUUGUCAAUAUUGUUAUAUCUCUUAUGGCAGUUAGCAGUUCUAUGGAAGAACUUUGAGUUCCUGUCCCCUUCUUUGAGCCAUAGGGCCCUAGAUCUUUGCCUCCAGGCCACUUCUUCUCUCUUGGCAUUUUCUUCAAACUCCACUGUCAACACUGCUCUUAAAUAGGACUCAUCAUCAGAUAGAAUUCUCUGGUCUUGUAUCAAGUCCAGCUCCGCUAGCUGGUUAAGGAUGCUCUGUUUUUGCAUACCUAGGUUGCCAUGUACUGUUUUGCUCCACUCUUUCAACUUAUCUUUCAGUAAUCUCAACUUGCAGGCUAAGAUAUAAUCCGGCCUUCCCACAUAAAUUACAGAAUUCCACCAUUCUUUAACUCUUUCAUUAAAAUCUUUAGUCUGCAGCCACCAAUUCUCAAAUUUAAAAAAGAAAUUUGAUCUCUCCCAGUUGCCACACUCCAACAAUAGUGGGUUAUGGUCAGAAGUUACUCUAGGUAAGAUUGAUUGUUUAAUCUUUCUAAAGGCUACUUCCCACUCUUCAGAUAUCAGAAAUCUAUCUAAUCUUGCUGCAAUAUCAUAUCCAUCCCCUCUCCUCCAUGUGAAUCUGCCACCUACAAGUGGUAAAUCUUGUAAUUCCAUGUCCUCCAUAAAUUCAGAAAAUUCUUCCAUCUCCCUAUUGAAUUUGUUGCAGUUUUUCUUCUCAGAUGGGAACCUCACUACAUUAAAAUCCCCAGCCACCACCCAAGGUCCAUUAAAUAGACCCCUCACUGCCCCCAACUCUCCCCAUACUUCUUCUUUUUCUUCUCUAUUAUUUGGAGCAUAAACACCAGAAAAAUGCCAUCCUAAGUCUUGUGUCUUCCCUGUGAACUUACAGGUGAUGCUGUAAGCCCCUACUUCACAUACUUCCCCCUCCCAUAUAUUACUAUCCCACAAGAUAAUGAUGCCACCUCUUGUCCCUCGUGCCUCUAGUUGUGCAUAUUUCACUUUUCUAUUUGCCCAUAAAUCUUUUACAAUCCUGCUUAUAUCUCCCUUGAUUUUUGACUCCUGGAAACAAUAUACAUCUGCCCUCCAUUUAUUCAUCAAGUUUUUGAUUUGCAGCCUCUUACUUGGAUCAUUGAGGCCCCUCACAUUCCAUGAAACUAUGUUAACCUUCAUUUAAAUCGUCUAUAAAGCAACCCCCCCUACUCCUUGUUCCAUAGCUCACAAAAUUACUCUUUGGUUCCAAAUUCUUGAGUUAGUUCGGGACCUUUCCUACUGGAGUUAUAGGAACUAUGGCUCCCACGCCCUUCUCAAUAGUUUGUCUCUUAUUGUCGAUCGCCAUGAAGAGGUUCAAGGCCACUUCUUCGCAUCCAAUGAAAUGUACCCCAAAUUCUUUGCUAAGUCUGAUUAUAUUUUGUUGGACCCAUGAUGAAAUUUACAAGUAGCUUUUAUAAAUGUAUAACCAGCACCAAGAGUGUGCUGGUGCGGUGAACCAGUUAUAAUGUCCUGUUAGUCAUAAUAGACUAUGUAAAGACUCUCUACAUCCUGCGUGACUUCUACCUCAGCCAUGUUGUCCGAAAAAAGAAAGCAAAAGCAUACAUAUGAACUUGGGACUAGGAUAUUCUCCUUUUGUCUUGAAAAAUUCUAGAAUUCCUCUCUUUCCAAGUGGUCCUCCAAAUAGUAAUAGGGAAGGUAUUUUAUAGUCGAGUUUGGAUAGCCACACAAAUGUUAUGCCAUAUUUAAGACAACAAGUUUCAAAAAUUCUAUAGCGACACAAAUGUUGUCAUAUUUUAGGCACAAGUUCCAAAAGUUUCACCAUCUUUCAUAAACUCCAUGCCAAGUCAAACUAAGCCUAAGCCAUUUAAAUUGAAACAGGGAGAGUACGGAAGUCAAAUUAAUAUCUUAAUCUCCGAGUAAAAAAAGUACUUACUCAUCAGAAAAUGUUUCUUUUUCAAUAUAGACAAUUUAGCAAACAGAUCUGUCGACUGAGUCACAACAUAUAGUGCACACAAAUGCCAAAUUCAGAGAGAAGAGUGCAUACCAGCCGGUGAGCUUCAUCCAAGUCAAAAGCAGGACCAAUGGAAGCAAUGACAAACUGGGGCCGAAUUGGACAAGCUAAAACUUUGUCAAUAACAUCAUUCACAGCAACCUACACCAAAAAUUGAAUUCCCACUCAAUAAAUUCAUAUAAUAAACACUAAAAAAGAUACUGCCUUGGUUCCAAAAUAGUUCUCCUGUUUGGUUUUCUGAAGUCCAACAAACUGAUUUUGUUAUCAAAUUUUAACUAUUUCCUUUUAUCACUUCUCUUUUUUUUAUAACCAUGGUGUCCGAGUCAACUUGACUGCAUCUCAACUAAUUCCACUGAGUACUUUCUAUUUUGCACCAGCACACGUACUGGAUAAAUGUGUCCACCGACGCUGGCUUGGACAGAAGGGGAAAAUCACCUAGUGUUGUUGCCUCCUCUGGGAUUUAUAAAUAAAUUCAAACUCUUAAACAUAAAUUACUCCCUCUGUCCCAGAAAAAAGGUCAGGUUUGGAGUACGAGGGUCAAUUCCUAUAACUUAUUAUGUGUAUUCGGACGCCAAUUUCUUCACUUUUUUCAAUAUAAGUAAUACUUGCAUAUUCAAAAAUACUGUAAGAAGUACUCCAAGUCAUAAUUAUUAUAGUUAAAAAGAGAAAAGGUUCAAAAAUGGCCUUAACGUAUCACAAAUGGUUUUAAAAUGCCCUCCUUCCACCUAUAAAAAUUCCCUCAACAUUCCUUUUAAGGUCUAAAAAUAGCCCUUUUUUUAACAGCACAAUGACGUUGCAUUGAUGAGUCAUUUAAUGAAACAAGUGGCUUCAUCUUAUUGGUUCACAUAAAUUUUAAAAUCAAAUCUAACUAUCCAACCCAUCUAAGGUAAAAGAUCCAAACCCACCUACAACCCAUUUUUUUCAAUCUAUGAACAUCUCUGUUUUUUCCUUGUCUAAGAGAAGAAUAAGGAACCUUUGAAUUUUUGGUUGAAUUUCUAUGGAACAGCCGGCAGUUAAACUGCCUUCCUGAUUUUCUGUUGUGUUUUCUUUAAGACUUGAAUAUUUAUGAUGUUCAUGAACGAGCUGGAGCCAGAGCGGAGAGGAUUUCAAGGCGAGGGAUUGGAGUCUUUUAAUGGUACUUAUAGGUUCAAUAUAGAAUUUCUGUCGAGGCAUGAGAGUGGUUUCCGGUGGCAGAAUGGCCCAUGGCUGCUAGGGGGUUGUUGAUUAUUUCUGCUGCAAGAAUAGGCCUGUUUGGAAGUUCAACACAAUGAUGGAACAAUUGGUAGAGGUGGAGAAAAGAUGAUUGAUAACAAGGAAGGGUGUUUGAAUCCUUGUGAAUUUAAAAAAAAAAAAAACGGGUUAGUUGGUGGAUUUGAAUCUUUUACCUUAGAUGGGUUGGAUAGUUAGAUUUGAUUUUAAAAUUUAUGUGGACCAAUAAGAUGAAGCCACUGGUUUCACUAAAUGACUCAUCAAUGCUAUGUCAUUGUGCUGUUAAAAAAGGGUAUUUUUAGACCUUAAAAAAACAUUGAGGGCAUUUUUUAUCUAAUAGGUGGAAGGAGGACAUUUCUAAACCUUUUCCCUAGGUAAAAACAGUUGAAAAAACAUAAUCGAAAACAAAUAGACUCUUCAUAUAGUAUUCAGACACCCAGCUCUUCACUUCCCCAAUAUAAGUAAUACUUGCAUAUUCAAAAUUUCUUUAAGUACUCCAAAUCAUAAUUCUUAUAGUUAAAAUAAGUAGGAAAAAAUACAAUCCAAAUCAAAUUGACUCUUCAAAUAGCAGUAGCACCAUUUUCCAGACCUAACGAGAGUGACAUUUUUCCACACCCAAGGGUGUCUCUUAGUGGUCAAUAAAGUGGAUUGAGCACCAUGAGAUCCCAGGUUCAAAUCCCAGAAGCAAAAACACUAUGGGGUAUUUGGCCAUCAAUUUUUUUUAACCUUUUUUCAGAAGUUGUAGUUGAAUUCCGAAAUUUGAAAAACAACAAAAGGUUGUUUUCACUCCAAUUAGUAUUCAUGAUGAAACACAACUCCAAUUUUCAAAUACUAUCAUUUUUUCACUUUGAAAGCAAAAACUACUUUUUCAAUACUCACAAUUUUCAUGGCCAAAUGCCCAUGGGGCAGAGCUAGGUAGCCUUGAGAGGUUCAUCCAAACACCAUUCGAAGGGUAAUUACACUUCUUAUACGCGGUUAAAAUUAUUUUUUUCAUUUGUUUACUUAUUCAUGAAAAUUCUAGCUUUGCCACUGAAACGCCCUUGGUAGACAGAGUUACCUAGAAACUGCAUGUGGGAGGUGACAGAUAUCUCGUGGAACUAGUCUAAAGAGAGUGACAUUUUUUCUAAUUAGGUCAACCAAACGAUUAGCCAUUCGAAACAUAAACUAAGACAAAGAGAUUAUAUGCUUAAAUUUUGAGUUACACAUAUGUGAAAAUAGAAGAACCUGAAGAGAAGGAUCGAGUGAAACAGCAGAAGAGAGCUUUGGAAGAGAAAGGAGGCGAGUGAUGGUAGCGUUCCACGAACGGCUCACACAUGCUGCUGCUGCACAUUCUACUGCUGGUAGUUUUGAGAAGAUGUUGAAUAGAAGGUCUUCUCCGAUCAUAUCAAUCGUCGCCGGCGAUAACGCCGUCGCCGGUGGGUUCUGCCUUGGUUUAUCCAUUUUCUGAACUGAAAUCCCCUCGACGUAAUGGUUUUGUGUGUUUUCAGUGUUCGGCUUUUAGCAUUUUGGUCCUUUAAUUAUUGGUAAAUCUAAUUCUAGUCCAUAUAAAUUGUAAGUAUGUUUUUUUGGUCCUCUUGGUAUGCAAUAUGUUUUUAUGCCAGUGGCGAAUGCGCUAGCUAAGAAGGGCUCUACAACAAAAUUUUGUUUUUGAGAAUAUCAUUGUUUUAGAUGGAUCAUCGGCAUUUAUACUGCAAUCACUUAUUGCAGAUCAACAAGGUGAUGUAACACAUCGUCUGCUUCCAUAUCAGACGGCAAAUAGGACUAGUAAUAGUUUAGUAUAAGCAUCUAUGACUAAAAAUAGUAAUAGCACAUCUAACAUGUAGCCUUCGUUUUUGUAGUACUGACCCUUCUAGUACAGUUAGGCCUUUGCCUCUUACUUGUAAUGCCUUAUAGUUUAAUAUAAGUUUAAUCUUUUUGUGACCAACAGAACACUAUUGAGCUUACAUAAUUUUAUUUUAUUUUUGUUUUCAUUUAGUGUUUGGUGCUCACCUUUAACAUGAUGAUUGAAUUUGUAUGGUACAUCCGCUCUUAAAGAAAAAGUGUUUUUUUUCUCAAAAUAAUGUCUAUAGGUUAUCACUAAUUCUCAUUGAGUGUGACCGAGUUUAGUUGAUGGUUGGUAGGCAACGUUCUUCCCAAAGUUGUCGAGUCUGGGGUCUUCUUUCACAAAAUUAAGAAGAAAAUCUCAUGCAAGGAACUUACGUACCUUAUCACAAUGAAUGGUAAGCAGUGGUGAAUCCAAAAUAUAAAUAAUAAGUGGAACACAAGUUGAAUUUUGAACAAUUCGAUUAUGGUAUACAAUACAACUUUUAUCAAACAAGGAAAAAAUUUGAUAAUCAAGAUAGAAUCAUCAUAUAAUCAUUCAAAUAAGGGUGUUGCUUUUUUCCUAGGUGAUUCCAACUUGAUGAGAUACGAAGAUAAGAAUGUAUUUACAAUCAACAACAUACUCAAUAUAAUAUCACAAAUAUGGUCAAAAGAGGAUAGGAUAUAAAUAAACCUUACUUCUGCCUUUAUGGAGUAGAGAGGUCGUCUCCGAAAGAGGAGAGUUCAUUUAAGUAACUAAAAUUACAACAUAACAAUGCCAGAAUGGCUUUUGAAAUAUGUAUAGGAGACAUUUGCCCUCUACCACCAAAUUCCAACACCAAAAAGUACAGAGCAAUAUCCUAUUCAAAUCACCAAAGAUUUUUUGCCACUACCCAUCAGGCAACCAGAUUGUCAAAGGCAAUGCCAGUUAAGCUCUAAUCUUCUGGCAAUGCAGGAGGAGUAUAUGACAUAACAAGGUAGACGGUGCUAAAUUCGUGCAAACUGCAACGUAUACAGCUUUGUCCUUUAGACUCCUUUACGUAGAAGCUAUAAUCUCCAUGUGCAAUUUCUCCAUUACAAUAGGUUCCUGAGAAGGUAACCCCAGGGAAAUUCUCCAAGAAAGGUGAGGCAUCUACAUUAGGUUCACCGAAAAAUAACUUUCCACGACCAUAGCAAGCGAACAUCAUACCACCAAAAACAGACUUCUUAUGCAUAUGCAUGCUUCCAUUGCUAUUAGAAUGAUCAUCAUUUUUUAGGUGGUUUAGAUCCUGCUUCAGAAGCUUCAUGUCGUUUGAAACAUCGUUGCAAGAAGCAUAUGCCAAAUCAGGAUUUGCAUGGUAAAACUGGAAGGAGUCAAAAUCACUGAUACCAUCACCAUGGACAUAGAGAUACUCGUUAUCACCUCUGCAAAUUCAUAUAAUUAGUUACAGAAGUAGAGAGAGAGAGAGAGAGAAAGGACGAGGAAAGGCAAAAAUAGUUGUAAAGACAGCAGUUUCAACUACGACAACAAUAUGCCCAGUGUGAUCCCACAAGUGGGGUUUGGGUAGGAAGGGCUGUGUGCAAACGUUACCCUACCUUGUGUGAGAGAGAAAGGUUAUUUCUGAUAGACCCUUGGCUCAAUAAAAGCAUUUUCAAAAACAGAUUCAACAAAUACAAGUAGAAAAGAAAAGUACCAGCAGUAAAAAUAAUAAAGAUAUCCAAACAUUAGUUAUACAAUUGAAAAUGCUUUUCCAUGUUUGCAGAAACAAAUUCAGUUGAGGAGGACUCCCCAUUCUCUCCAUGAACCAUGGAAACUUCCUAGAGAAUAAACCUUCUAUCUGCAUGCUUUUACACAUCAAACAUCUCAGGAUGGAAUUCAUGCAUACAUGUCCAAACAUCGUAGAACAAUCAAACAUCAUAAGUGAAGGCCAUAAGGAUAAUCAAGCUCGAUGUUGCAUUAAUCACCUUAAAACCAAAUAGAAUUCAUGCAUACACAUCGAACUUAUGCGAACAUCCCCAAAAGUGCAUCUCCUCGUCUUUGCAACUCCAACAUAGAGAGUUCGAGAAUGGGUAUGAUCUCCCAGCUGGUGAAAUCAAAUCAUUGAAAAGAAACAUCAAUUCAAAGAGGAGUGAAUUAUGUUCAAGUGUUUCAAACACACACAUGAAGGAAGAUGUAUACUAGGAGAGAAAUUUCAUCAAUUAGACAGCUUCUAAGUUCUAAAUAAGUAUGAUUAACUUUAAGAUUAUGCUUUAUAGCAGAUUAUUAAACCAUAAAGAAUUAUUUUUUUUAAAAAGCAAUAGUUUAACAAAAGUGAUUUCAUUACUGCUUCUUAUUAUGCUAUACCUUGUGUAACUGUGCAUGUCAAUCAUGAACAUUCUUCUGUAAAUUCUUUUAUAACCUUAAUUUGCGAUGGUCAAAAAAAAUUUCUUUAGUUUCCAAUAGAAUUUGAAAAUCAGUCGGACAGCAUGAUCAACUCUAAGUCUCUAAUCAUCCAAAUAUGUCCAAUCUGCUAUAAUGCAUCUCGUUAAACCCAUUGUAUACUCUUCCCUGCUAAGUGAGGCAAGAGCAACAGAGUUCUGACAUUUGAUGAAUCCACGCAUUACUGAACUUAAAAGACUUCAUUAUGAUGGAAGGAAUCAAAGGGAAAAAAACAACGAGACUAGUUACACCACAAAAUUUUGCAAGUAUUUUGGUAGUUGCCUUUCUAAACAAACCAGCUAUAAAUUACUUCCUUCAGAAACUAGCUACUUAACUUUGGUGCUGAAACAUUAAACCCAAUUUACUUCAGAAGAUGAACUAUCUUACUUCAUCAUAAAUCUGAUCUAAAAUCGUCUCACCAUCCAGAUAAAAAUCAAUGCCUUUUGUUCUCGCCAUGAACUGAGUAGAAUUGUCACGAAAUUUCGCCUCAACAUUAACAGCUUUGUAUAUAGGCCCAAUUGGUGAAACGCCAGUAGAUAACAUUACAUGAAACUGAGUUUCCCCAACACCUGUUUACCGGGUCCCAAAAAAUGAUUUUCUCAAUAAAUUCCCUGGAUAUAUAAUAUGCUAAAUUACCUACAUAUACGGAAAUAUUAAGUAGAAGACAAAUCUAAUCAUCAAUAUAUUUAUUGAUAUUUGUGUAAAUACCCAUAUAUUUAUGUGUAUUUAUUUAGUGGUUUAUGUUGAUGAUAUCAUUAUUACCGGCAAUGAUCAGGUCUUUGUUAAGGAUGUUAUUUCAAAGUUAGACAUCAUAGAAUUCUUGGAGUAGGCGCAGAAAGCUAUGAUUUGUGGUUUUUUCGUAAUCUGUAAAGAUGGCCUAGCAAAGCCUUUGUGCUACACAUAUAUAAUAUUGUUACCUUUCUCAAAAAAAGAAAAAAGAGAAGAAGAGGAUCAAUUGAUUAUGUUUUCUUCCUUCCCAUCUCUCUUUCUAUUUUAUAAUUAAGUUGAGGAAUAGAACUAGCUAACGAUUGAGAUGUACUUGAAUUGGUAAGUUCAUAUUAUUCCACAAAGAUGUUAGCACCAAGCUGAUCAAAAGUUGAGUUUGUGAUGUGCCUCAAAUAUUGUGGAAUCACACCCCAAUAUAUCAGACUAGCAUUGGUGGCAAGAUUCUCUCCUACCCGAAUGCCUUAUAAAGCAGUGCUCUUGUUAUUGAACAAACAGGAUAACAAUAUGAAACCACAAAGUCCAGUCAAGAAGCAAUUCAUACCAGGAGGUUUGUUUGUAUCCCUUGAAAACAGAAGAGCUACAGCAGCUGAACUGGACUCUCUGUUAUUAAAACGGUUACUUAUUGUUCCAUCUUGGUAUAAAAAACGAGAACCCGCAUCACCCACAAUGACAGUCUCUUCGGUAAAAGCAUAAUCUACAAAAAUGGGGCACUGAAAAUAAAAGUUCUUUCUCAUAGAAUCAAGUAAGAAGAGAAAUUUGGUUCCAUAAAAGUAUAUUGCAUAGAUGAGAACUAUGAAGCUCACUCACCCAACUUUGCAAGAACCGGUUUGAUGUCAAUGUCCUUGUCCUAGAACAACAUUCAAAUGAAUUUAAUUACAUUCUCAAGUAAGAAAAAGAAGGUUGUUCCUAGAUAUUUGAAAAGCAAAAACUUCAAGUGUCUCUCAAAGUUCAUUCAGCUUUCCAAAGACAAAAUUAAAUAAAUAAAAGAAUAUUCUCCCUAGCAGCUUAAACUUUUAGAUGAACCUGUCACACACUUCAAUAUGGUAUUAGAGCAGGCAUAGGUCCUAGGUUCGAGUCUCACCACCACUCAUUCUCAAAAAGAAUAUCUCGUGCUUGGCCAAUCAAAUAGAAUUUUGCAUGCACACAAAGGGGUGUGUUGAAGACAAAUAUAAAUAAAUAAAAGUGUACUUUCUCUUAAAUGAGUUGGUCACACACUUCAAUACAACUUUUAAUCCGGCCCACUCUAAAAUCUAAAUUGAUUAGUCCAGACACUCAAACAGAACCUGAAUUGCAUGAGGUUUAACUUUAUCCACAAUUUAAGGAAAAUAAGGCAUCACCACUUUGACAAGUAGGGAAUAAACUGUUUUGACAAAAUGAAAGGUCUUAAGAGACUUGAGACUUACAGAAAAUAACAAAACUCCCAUUGGUGAUGAUGCAGAACGAGAAAACGAGAGGUCCGUGAUACUCCUCAUGAAAUCAUCAAUCAAGAGUACCUGAAAUUUGUUCUCCCCAAGUUAGUGUAGCCCAUUUUAAAUCAAGUUAGCACAAAUUUUCAACUAGAUAUAAACUAUUCAUAUCCUUCAAAAUUCCAAGUAGGAACUUCAUAAAUUUGAAACGAAAAUCAAGUUAAAAAGUGGAACUUCAGAUUUCUCUAAAUAAAGGCAGACAUAUUUGUAAAAAUGUUAUGGUUACUUGAGUAGAGGAUUACCCGAGCCCUUUUUAAUGGGAUUAAAUCAACUAUUAAUCCUGGCAAGAAACCAACAGUCACUAAAACACCCUCGUCCUCAUUACGAAGAUCCUCAUGAGCCUGGUUAUCUUUCAUGGUGUUCCACUGAACCUGGAAAAACAUCAUUUUCCCCACGUCAAUUCUAGUUAAGAAGAAGUCAGAAUGCAAUCCCAAGCAGAUUCUAGCCUAUAACCACUAGAUUUACCUCUUCAAACUGGUUAGUGUUAGCAUCUUGCCCAAAAAUUCCAUAAGAUAUCGAAGUGAUAACUGGAAUUUGGCAACCGAAUCUACCAGUAAUCUGCAGAACAAUAUGGAUCCAUAAGCAGCACAUAUAGUUUAUUCCAAUGUGUGACAAUUCAAUACAUUGAAUGGAUGGUUUUAUUAAUAUCUCUAGUUUAACAAAGUACAACAUUUCAAUUGAAGAAAAAUAAAAGGGCCCUUUUUAUUCUGAUUGUUUUGCAUAUUUUAACUUUCUAAUCUUCAUAUUGAUUGCCUCCAUAUAUUAAGUAGUUCGCAUAGAUCGAUUAUAGGCUUGCUUGUGCCUAAAAAGAUAUUGUGUAUGAAUCACUCGAUAACUAUGCUCAAAGAACUAGGUGAAAAUCUUCUCUCAUGACUGCCCACAUAAAAUAAUACCGGUCUUUCACUUUUGUGUUGCAUCAGGCAAACACAUUUCGAAAGUGAUUCGUCAUUGGAAUAACUACAAUAUCACUUUUUCUCAAAUCGGUCUUGAGAUAAAAUUGAUUGCAAUAUCAAAUGAAUAGUCAAAAUAUAAAUGGUGUCAAACAUAAAUAAAUAUCAUUGAUUUGACACAUUUUCUUUAAUAAGAAUUAUAAAUAAGGAAUGAUAUUUAGUAAAAUUAAAAGCAUUUUAGAAAUUUAACUUUUGACUUCAGUGCUUCUCAUUCUUUAUAAGUAUUCCGAGUAUCUGGACAUGCACAUCAUGCGCGAAUUCUAUAUCAAUGAGCAUGUUUUUUCUUAAAUCAAAUAAUUAUAACUGGAAAAUCUUAUCGCAUUAGUUAGGGAUUACUAUAAUACCUCCAACUAAAAACACUCAUCUAUAUCUAUAUACAAAAAUACCCGUUAAAACUCAACAACCACUCUUCUUUUAAAAAAAACAAACUACUCCUACACUCAACCAAUGCUCCGUAUGAAUGUCAACACGCUUGAUCCUUGAGACUAAUAAAACCACCGCUUAGGAAAGGAACAAAAAUCAAUCAAAUAAGUUUACACUUUCAUUUUUCAUGGUUAAUCUUUCACCUAAUCAAAUACGUAAUUUAUUAAGCUUAAUCAGAGUUUUACUUUCACCCUCCAUCACAUUUUGAUAAUAUUUGUUCUCUCUUGAACUUGUAUCUGCAUAUACAUGUCGCAUUGAGUAUGUGUAUGUUUGUUUUACUUGUACUAUUUCUUAAAAUUUGAUGGUGAUAAUUACAAUUGAGUGUACAUAUAUAAUUAUAUAUGUAUGUUGCGAAGUGAUUAAGAAAAGAAAAAAGAGGACGAUUUUCGUCAAAGUCUGAAGAUUAUUGUGCUAAUACUAACAUGAAGAAAGGACCAAGGUCACCUGAGGAAGAAAUUAAGAUAAAAAGACUAUCUUUGAGAUUUGAACUCUGACACUUGUAAGUGUAUAAGAUGAAGGUGCAAAUUUAAAAAUGGAAAAAAUGAGGUUAUAAAAUUCUAUAACAAGAGUAAUCAACUUUGAUAAGACAAGAAUGGAAAGGCGUAAUCGACAAUCAUUAUGGCAGAAGAAUAUAUCAUAGAUAAAGUUGAUGAAAAAAUGUCGUUUUCGACAUCAUCUAUUAGAGCAAUCAAAGUUCAAUAUGAGCUAUAUCAAAGAUUAUUUUAUAAUGUGAUUGAUGGAAUACAUAUAACGUUAGUCGAAGAGUAUGCCUUUUGACUUCAUUCAAUAAAGGGUCAAGUAUGCUAUAUUCUAUAAUAAAUGAUAUAUGAAAUACACAUGCAAUACAGGUAAAGAGAGACUAGUACAUAUAGAGAAAGAAGAUCACAUACGAGAUAGUGAGCUUCCUUCAAGUCAUAAGAAGGACCGAUGGAAGCCAUUACAAACUGGGGCCGAAUCGGCCUAGCUAAAACCUUGUCAACAACCUCAUCCACAGCAUCCUGCACCAAAUGUUCAAUUUCAACCCAAUAAACUUUUGUCAUAAACUAAACAAGCUACUCCCAUUGUCCAAAAUUAGUUCUUCCAUGAAGUUUUCAAUAAAUUACAGUCAAUUUUAGUAAAAAAAAAAUCAUCAUUUCUCAUCAAAAUUCAAAUUCUUAAACAUAAACCUUCAAAUUCUUAAACAUAAACCCUAACCUGAAGGAUGAAUCUUAUACCUGAAGACAAGGAUUGCAGGAAAGAGCAGAAGAAAGGUUUGGAAGAGUGAGAAAGCGAUUGAUGAUGAGAUUCCAACUACUGUUCACACAUGCUGCUGAUGCACAUGAUUCUGCUGAUAACCGAAACAGAAUGUUGUUAAGAAGGUCUUCUCCGAUUGAAUCAAUCGUUGUCGGCUCCGGCACCGUUGCUGCUGCCGCCGGCACCGUCGCUGCAGCUGCUGCCGCCGCCGCCGUCAAUUUCUGUCUUUGUUUGGGCGCCAUUUUUCAUAACUUAAAAGACCCACUAUUUGCUUCUUUAUAUUUUUUUAAUAGAAAAAGGAUUAAAAAUAUUUCUAAAUUAUAUAUGUAUAUAAAAGAAAACCUUAUGUCCAUACGUGGCGUCAUCAUAAAUUAGGAUUUACUUUUUAUUUAUUUAUUUUCACAAAUCUUUUUUUUCUUUUUAAUCUAUUUAUUUCUAAAACUAGUCUUUCCUUUCAUUAAAAGCAGUGAGUUUUAUAAAAACUUGUGACUUUUAUGAAAAAUUGUGAUUUUUAUGAAAAGUUGCGACUUCAAUUAAGAGUUGCGACGUUUAUGAAAAAGUUGUGACUUUUUCUAAGGGUUAUAACUUUUCCAAAUAGUUGUGAUAUUUUCGAUAAGGCACAACAAACAUUUUUACACACAAUUAAAUAUUCGUGUACUUUGCUUCUGUUGAAUAUAAAUAGAGAGAUUCCUCUCAUUUUAAAACAACGAAAAUUCUGAACUUCUUAUUCUUCUUCUUUUUCUUCUUCUUCUGCACAAUUAAAUAUUCGUGUACUUUGCUUCUGUUGAGUUGCUCACUGACACCAUUGCUUAAGUUACAGAUCUUGAUAUUUUUUUUACAGUCAUAAAUUUAUGCUCAUGUUAUUAAGGAUAAAUGAUAAGAUGUUAUAAUUUUCUAUCACGAUCCGAGUCUACACCCUGAACGUAGUCGGCACUCGAGAACUAUUGUUGGUCCCCAAGCGAACCCUCAUCCUAGCUGACUACAAGCGAAAGACUAACUCAAGCAUACAAAGCUUAAAAACUGAAUAAAAAAUUCAUGAAACUCAAUUACAAAGCUUUAAACUCAAAUGAAAAAACUCUAAAUAAAAAUAAAUUAUUCAACUCGCCAUAAAUAGGUAACUUAAGUCUUUAAAACAUUUAACAAGAUAAAUGAAACAGACUUCUCAAACUCUAUUGUCUAUCUAUGAAGCCUCUAAAUGACAAGGAUGGAAGUCGGGACAAGACCCACGAUAUCCUGACAAAACUGAAAAGUAAAUGAAAUCCUCCAGAAGCAAGAAGGCUCACCAUAGCUAACUCGAACUCCAUGUGGUAUCAACGAAGCUCUUGUUAAUGACCCUGAAUACCUGUAUCUGCAUCAUGAAACGAUGCAUGCCAAAUAGCUUAGUACGUGGAAUGUACGAGCAUAUAAGAGGAAUUUUAAAGCAUAAACAUAAGUUUGAACUUGAUAAAAAGGAAACAUAUUUACCUUCUCUCAACUCACUCGUGCUAAACCCAACUCAAGGAUAAGAAACAUAGUUCAACUCAAUGAUAAGAUAUUCAACUCAAUGAAAUAAGGCUCAACUCAAUAAUAAGAUAUUCGACUCUAGGUACUUAACUCUGGAUACUCAACUCAAUAUAAAGCAACAAUACAUUUGCCAUAAAUGGAAAGCUUUUAAAACAGUAGAAAGCAACUCAGUUUGUAUGCAAGGAACACCAAAUAAACUCUGCUUGUAUAUGAAAAUACAAAGUAAACUAUGUGUAUAUAAGAAUACAAAAUAUCUCUAGUGGGAGUUUCUCUAACCGACAACCAUCACUAUGAGCUAUGUGAUGAUACAUCGUCUCGCCCACGCUGCCAGAACUAUCCUAUAACUUGUCGGGAUAUAGAACGCCUCAACUAAGUGAAUCCACUAGUCUAUGCUAAAAAUCAUUAAGGAAUCAACUAAAAAGUAUGACCAUUUAUACCCACGUUGGCUACAUGGUUUAUGGAGACUUGAGUUAUCUGAACUCAUCCACAUAUCGGUGUUCAAUACUACUCUCAAAAUAUAACUAGCUCAUAUGUUUGAAAACAUAACUCUUUCUGAGGUUUGAGAUUAUUACUCAAAAACUAGCUUAAAAGCUCUCAUGGAAAUCGGUGUUUCCUCUCUUGUUUAAAUGUGAAAACAUUUACUCUUUGAGAAUACUUAGUUCCCAUAUAAUCUUUUGAAGAACUGAACUUAACUCUUGCUCUUACUCAACUCAAUGCUCAAGUCUUUAAAACAAGUCUAAAACAAUUGUAAAAGACUUCUCAAAAUAAGGUUCAUGCCGAAUUAUGGACGCGAACGACUCAAUUCAAGGUUUUCAAUAACCACAUAUAGAACUCAAUACUCGAAACUCAAAAACUUCAAUGAUAAUACUUACUCCCUCCGUCCCAUUUUAUGUGAGGUACUUUGACUCGGCACGGAGUUUAAGAAAAAAGGUAGACUUUUAAAACUUGUGGUCCAAAAUGAAUGAUAGAAAUUUGUGUGGCUGUAAAUUAUUUCAGUAAAGGUAAAAUAGACAUUUUAUAGUUAAAUUGUUACUUAAUAUAGAAAUGUGUCAUUCUUUUUGAGACUGACUAAAAAGGAAAGUAAGUCACAUAAAUUGGGACAGAGGGAGUAUUUAAAGAAUGCUCGACUCAAAGGGUUCAUACGGAAUUAUGGGCAUGAACUACUCACUCAAGAACUCAAAGAUACUUCUCAUCUGAAGACUACUCGACUUAUAGGGUUCAUGCGGAAUUAUGGGCAUGAACUACUCAACUCAAGGACUUCAUGGGUAACAUGUAAUAGUCCCAUGAUUAGGAAUAUAAUCUCAAAAAAAUGAUUAGGAACUCGAUACUCAAAACUUAAAACUUGAAGAUACUACUCCUCUCAAAGAUACUCAACUUAUGGAGUUCAUGCGAAAUUUAUGGGCAUGAACGACUCGACUCGAGGGUCUACAUAACAACAUGGAACUCGUGUGAUCGACUCUUCUCAUUCUCAUGCUUACUUCCUCAAAACUUAGUUCAAAUUGAUAAUUGAUCUCAAAGGAUUCACAAUUGAACUCAAAGAUUUUCUUGAACUCUACUCUUAACUCUCUCUUGAAUUUGAAUUAUGAAUUCAAUAGUUAUGGUUUGUGAUAUGAAGGAUCUCGUGAUGACAAAGUAGGUUCAUGAAUACAUUCUCCUCAUUCUUAUACUCACUUGCUCGAGUCUUGAAACAAGUUAUUUGAAUUUGUAAAAGACUCCUCAAAGGGACUAUCUCAAAAUGUUCGAAAGAACUCUUCAAGGCUUAACUCUUAACUCUACCUUGAAUUUGAAUCAUUAAUUCAAGGUUAUUAUUCAUGUUCAUGGAUGAUUUCUAGAUGUUUAGAAGUCAGUUAGAGUAGUCAGAAUCAAUCGGAAGUGUUAGUACACUUUAAAAGAACUUAGAUAGGCUAAACGACGAAAAAAUGGUGGGGGCAGACGACCCGGGCGCGUUCCUAGCGCGGGGUGCCAGCCCCUAAGUUACUGGAACCCAAUUAUGGCACACCAGCCCUCCUGGUGUAUCAGUGGCGCGUCGCGCCACCCCUUCCCCAGAACGACCCGACAAAUUUUUCUUCUCGUUCUCUGAUCCUAGAUUGCAUUUAAUCGAUUUCUUUUCUCAAGUUUUCCUCAAAUUCAAUUACCCAACCUAAGUACACACUAAUCUACUCAAAUCACUAACUUUCAUCUCAAGAAUUCAUCAAAACUCCAACAAAACAAGAUUUAGAAUGAACUUCAAGAACUCGAUUCCUUCAACUUUUGAGAAUGAAAUUACGCUGAAAAUAAUAUGAUUGGCGUGUGGGUGAAUGAACCCAACACUAUAGAAGCUUACAUACCUCUUAGGGAUCAAACUCAUGGCAAAAAUCCGCAACAAAACUCAAGAUACUCGACAAACGCUUUGAUCCUCUCCUAUUUUCUCCUAUUUUCUCUUCUUUUCUCUUCUUGAGCUCUCAACUAAAACCCUAGGUGUAUAUUAGGAUUAUAAAACUGAACCUAAUAUGAUUAGACCCUUAAAACCUUACUAAAAAUGAAUUAAAUCUGAUUUGGUAAGGAAAAACCAAAAUACCCCUUACUAUUUCCGGGUAACUUUCCUUAACUGGACAACCUAACUUCAAAAGAGCAUAUCUCACUCAUCGGACCUCGAAACUUAGCAAACUCGGUGGCGUUGUAAAGAUAAUUCAAAGACCUUUCAUUUCCAUCUUGUAUAUCACCUAAAUCAUCUUGUACCAGGAGUUAUGGUCAUUUGAAGUUGACCCAAAAUUCAUAACUUAAGCAUAACUUGCAAAAUUUCAGAAUUUUGCUAUUUCCAAUUUAGUUCUUUUGGAACUCAAGGUUUCACAUCUAGUGACCUUAACACUUAAGAAAAUUUUAAAUUCCUCGGUAAAAUCCUACUCACAACGAAGGAUGGUUCGAGUCUUAACUCAAAAUUUUCCGGGGUGUUACAUUUUCAUUUUCCUUUACAUUAUUAAUGUUUGUUACUAUGUAAUCUUGUAUGUAAAAUAAUAUAGUGUUUUAAUUUUAAUGACCGGUAGGCUUUAAGUAUUAUUUUAUAAAUUUCGUGAUAUUAAAUUUCCGCGCGAAACGCGGGUAAAUAUACUAGCUCCUUUAAUAUAUUAGGUUUAUGCUCCAUUAUACUAAGCAACUAUUUAUAUUCAUGCUAUCUAUAAACUUGUCACUUGUACUCCUACUCGAACGAAUACCCUUUAAUUAACCUGAAUUUCUUUGAAAUUACUCAUUUUCAAAUUGAAACUCAUGACCGACCCUCUGUCUAUCUUAACCCAAACAAAUUUAACUUAUUUCCCAUAUGUUAAAGGUCUUUUGGAAAUGGGCUAAAUUUGUUUGGAUUAAGAUAGAUAGAUGAUCAUACAUGUGUUUCAAUUUUGAAAUGAGUUGUUUUUAAGAUAUUUGGGGUUAAUUUGGGUUGAUUUGAGGUUUUCGUCCAAAUAGGGGGUAUGGGUGACAAGUGACAAGUCUGCUUAAGACGGGAUAUAAAUAGUCACAUGGUGUAAUGGAGGGUAAAUCUAACUAUUAAAUAAAGGGAAAAAGGACGAAUUUACCCCCGAACUUUGAUAAAUGGUACGUCUAUGCCCUCCGUUAUACUUUGCGUCCACAUAAGCCCCUGCCGUCCAAUUUUCGGUACACACAUGCCCCUCUCACUAACGGACCCCUCAUUUUGUACACGUGUUUUAAUCCUAAUCAACUACCCGUUUGACCAUUCUUUUAACCCAUAAACCCACAACCUGCCCCAUAAACCCAAUAACCCACCUCUUCUUUCUAUUAAACUGUCGAAUGCACCACCACCGGAGGCAAAUCUCCGUCCACCUUCCUCUUCCUUCCUUUUGGUCCACCGAUCCGAAUCUGAUUCCCUCUAAAAUAUCUAAGUUAAUUAAACAUUCCAAAUGAAGAGUCAGUGAAGGGUCAGUGAAGGUUGAAAAUCACUCCAAUGGCGGCGGUGCCGGUGGCCUUGCCGAUUUUCCAUAUUUGGCUGCUGCUGCCACCACCAAAACGAAGAAGAAGAAGCCACAAACCCUAUCCCUUCAGGAGUUCAACACUUAUAGCGCUGCUAAGUAAUCUCAAACUGCCGCCACUGUGGCAACCAAAGGCUUGACACCGGAGAAAGUUUUGAUGCUCCCUACCAGUCCUCGCGAGCGCACUGCGGAGGAACUUGGCCAGUCUCGACUCGGAGGUGGUUUCAGAUUGUACGGUUACGAUAGGUAAAAAGGGGAGGGGUUCGUCGAAUGAUUCUCAUAGGCAGGGAGGGUUCCGAAGGGAUACCGAUAGGGAAAUUGCUCCCUCUCGUGCCGACGAGACUGAUGAUUGGGGUGCAGCUAAGAAAACAUCGACUGGUAAUGGUUUUGAAAGAAGGGGGAGAGAGGUGAAAGGGGAGGUUUUUUCUCCGAUUCCCAGUCUAAAGUUGAUGAAUCUGAUAAUUGGGCAGCGAAUAAAGCUUUUGUACCCUCUUCUGGUCGAAGAUUUGAUAGGAGAGGGAGUUUUGAGUCAAACGGUAGUGAUUCCGAUUCGGAUCGGUGGACCAAAAGGAAGGAAGAGGAAGGUGGACGGAGAUUUGCCUCCGGUGGUGGUGCAUUCGACAGUUUAAUAGAAAGAAGAGGUGGGUUAUUGGGUUUAUGGGGCAGGUUGUGGGUUUAUGGGUUAAAAGAAUGGUCAAACGGGUAGUUGGCUAGGAUUAAAACACGUGUACAAAACGAGGGGUUCGUUAGUGAGAGGGGCAUGUGUGUACCGAAAAUUGGACGGCAGGGGCUUAUGUGGACGCAAAGUAUAACGGAGGGCAUAGACGUACCAUUUAUCAAAGUUCGAGGGUAAAUUUGUCCUUUUUCCCUUAAAUAAAAGCUAUGACAUAUUUUUUUACUCUUCUCCCUUUUAAAAUUAAAAUUAUUAGAGAGGCCCCAUGAACUUCUCAUUAUUUAUAAUAUAAAGAUACUAUUAAUUAAACUUCUUUAUAACGGUAUUCAUAUGGUAUUUACUACUAAUUGAAAAGGCUUAUCACAUAUUAGAAAUGAUCUAUAUAAAGCAUUGGUUCUACGUAAUCCACGAAGAGUUUAGCUUUAAAAACUGAGUUUUGUUGGUUGGAUAAUUUUUUUACUCUAUCAAUAGGUUUAACUCAUAAAACUAAAGGCUAGCUAAAUUACAUUUACCACACUUUAAAAGUUUGAAAAUUUAAAUUCAAACUAUAAAACUAUAAAAGUUUAAAUUUCACACUUUAAAAGUUUGAAAAUUUAAAUUCAAACUUUAAAACUAUAAAAGUUUAAAUUUCACACUUUAAAAGUUUGAAAAUUUAAAUUCAAACUUUAAAACUAUAAAAGUUUAAAUUUCACACUUUAAAAGUUUGAAAAUUUAAAUUCAAACUUUAAAACUAUAAAAGUUUAAAUUUCACACUUUAAAAGUUUGAAAAUUUAAAUUCAAACUUUAAAACUAUAAAAGUUUAAAUUUCACACUUUAAAAGUUUGAAAAUUUAAAACUUUAAAACUAUAAAAGUUUAAAUUUCACACUUUAAAAGUUAAAUUUGAACUUUUGAAUAGACAAUAAAAAAAGUUUAAGGCGAAUAGCCUAUACUUUUAUUAAUAUUAAUUAAAUAGUACAAGUUGAGUUACAAAAUAUUAGUAGAGUAUUAAAAAAUCUAAUCUACACAGCCACCUUCUAGGAAGGGUUCUGUUUGAAUUAGACCUCGAAUUAUUAUACUCAUACUAAUAGACAUUUAAAUUUAAUAGUUCAUGNNNNNNNNNNNNNNNNNNNNNNNNNNNNNNNNNNNNNNNNNNNNNNNNNNNNNNNNNNNNNNNNNNNNNNNNNNNNNNNNNNNNNNNNNNNNNNNNNNNNNNNNNNNNNNNNNNNNNNNNNNNNNNNNNNNNNNNNNNNNNNNNNNNNNNNNNNNNNNNNNNNNNNNNNNNNNNNNNNNNNNNNNNNNNNNNNNNNNNNNNNNNNNNNNNNNNNNNNNNNNNNNNNNNNNNNNNNNNNNNNNNNNNNNNNNNNNNNNNNNNNNNNNNNNNNNNNNNNNNNNNNNNNNNNNNNNNNNNNNNNNNNNNNNNNNNNNNNNNNNNNNNNNNNNNNNNNNNNNNNNAUAAUACAAUCUAUCAUAUCAUCAAUAUCAUCUUCAUUAUUAUAUCUACUCCUAGAACUUUGAGGCUCUUCAUUACAUACUACAUUCAUUCGAUUAGAAUCAUAUAAGUCAUACAUUUAUGCAUCAAAAUCAUUUCUAUCAUUAUGAGAAAGUUCAAGAUAACAGUCAAUCAUAUCAUCAAGAUCAUCUUCAUUAUAUCUACUCCUAGAACUUCGAGGCUCUUCAUUACGUACUACAUUCAUUCUAUUAGAAUUAUACAAGUUAUACAAUUUUCUAGCUUCAAUUUUUAUAUUAUCUUUAACAUCUUGGUAAUUAGGUGUUUCAUCUUCUUCACUAUCAAUACCCAAAUUAAAAUAUAUUAUAUCAACCAUUCGUGAUGCACCUUCAUCUUUGUAAAGUGGGUUUAACAAACAAGCGGUUAAAUAAAUUUGAGGAAUAGGAAUAAAAUAUUUUUAAAAUUUUUCAAUCAUUUUCUUAACAGAUUCUUCAAAUCUUGGUUUAUUUUUGAAUUUAUAAAAUUUACUAGAAAUAGACAAAUAUUAGGUAAAACAGAGCAAAUAGUUGGAUGAUAAAGUGCAGAUAUUUUUUUGUAGUUAAAUAAAAAACUUUUAAGAAUUCUAUAAGUUCUUUUAUGUCAUUCCAAUCAUUAUCAUCAAGUCUAUAUGUCAUAUUUGAAUUAUGAGCAUUCCAAAUCAUUUGUAAAGGUUUCCUAUAUUCAUAAGCGACUUCAAGCAUUUCAUAUAAAGAAUUUCAUAUAGUACACACUGAUUUUAGAAUUUUUCUAGGUGGAAGAUUAAAAUUCACGACAACGAUUUUCAAAAUCUCUACGUCUAGACUUAACUUGACAAUUAAAGAUAAAAUGACAUGCAGUUUCAACUUUUAUGCAACCAUCAUUAUACAUUGUUAUACCAUCUCUAACAAUCAAAUUAUAUAUGUGUGCAGCACACCUAAUAUGAAAACCAUCAAUAUAAAUAGGGCAAAGAGACGGUUUUUAGUAUUUCAACAGCAGAUAUAUUAGAAGCAUUAUCUAAGGGUGACACUACUUAUUUUAUCACAAAUUUCAUAGUUUUGUAAAACAUCUAUAAUUAGUUUGAGCUAUAUAACUACCUGUUUUAUGCAUUUCACAACAUUUAUAACCUAAAAUUCUUUUUUGCAAACUCCAUUUUUCAUCAAUCCAAUGUGCAGUAAUAGUGAAAUAAUCAUUACCAUUUACACUACAUCCCAUAUCAGAACUAAUAGCUAUUUUACAAUUAUUAUAAUAAAAUAAACAAUGAAGAUAUUGAAAAUGUUGAGCUUGAUAAUCAAAGAUAGUCCUUUUUAAUUGUAUUUCUAAGUAAAACCUUUAAAAUGUGGAUUAUACACAAUUUGAAUAUAAUGAAUAAAACCAGGAUUUUCAGCAAAUCUAAAUGGCAAACUCAUAACAACAAUCUAUUUUAGCUAAUUCUUCAAGAUUCUUUUCUCUACUAUAUGACCGUUGUAUACUAGAGCCAGAAAUAUUAGAAGGACUUAAUUGUGUUUGGACCAUAUUAGAGCCGCCUACUCUUACAUUUUCAGGAAGGGUGGUACCAUUCUUUUUAGCUUCGGCUACAGCUUUAGCAUGCAAAAAUUCAUUUUUACAACAUGACAUUAAAUGAUUACUCAAAUGUCCCGUCCCACCCUGUUUUCCUACAGUUUUAUGAUUCAUUCUAUGUUUACAUUUAUUACAAAUAGCUUGUGUUUUAUCUUCAUUCUGAGUCAUAAAUUGCCACACAACUGAUUUUUUAGCGCGUUCUACCUUAGGCCUAGGAUGCACGGGGGGAGCGGGAACAGAACAACGAAAGGGAGCGGGAGGGGAAGAGGGACUGGGAGUGGGAGUAGUAGCCAUAACUGGCUCAGUUUCAUCAUCAUCAUAUUCAUCAACAUUAUUAUCAAAACUAUCAAUAUAAUCAUUAACAUCAUCAUCUUCAUCAUCUUCAGGUAAUUCCUCAUCAAAAUUACCAAACAUUCUUUGUAAAUGUUCAUGAUAAGGAUCUAAUCCACUAUUACUAUCAAUAUUAAAAACAGUUUCAUCAACAUGCGUAUAAUCAUCCGUAUUUAUUCUUAAUUGAGAAGUCUUUUUUGUUUUAGACUUAGAAGUACUACCAGUUUUUUUAUUUUUCUUGGAUUUUGAGCUCCAUAAAUUAGUGAUCGAAUCAACUAUGGUUGUUUUACCCUUGUCAACAUUGUUUUUACAGGAAUCCAUAUUCAAAUAUAAAAAGUGAGUAAAUUAUAUAUAAUACGAAAAUGUAAUGCAAAGUUUUAAACAAAUAAAUAACUAAAUAAGUAGAGACUAGAGACUAAUUACUCACAAAAUAAAUAAUUAAAUGCAAACAAAUAAAUAACUAAAUGAAAAGUGAAUUGGAACGAAUGUACCAAACGUCUACUUAAAAAAGUAGACGCGUAUGACCAAAAGCCGAAAAUCGAAAGUUGAAUUUUGAAGCUCCAAUUUCCAAAGACCAAAUUCUUAAUUUUAACAAGAAUAAGAGAUUAGAGAGUAGAAACUUGAGUGAGACUUUUGAGAGUUGUUGAGAGAGUAGAAGAUAAUAUUUUUGUGAGUGAAAAGAAUGAAAGAUUGGGGGUAUUUAUAGUUAAAAAAAAAGGAUGAAAAUGUAGUUUUUAGAAGGUUGGGGUAUUAAAAAAAGUUUGGGGGGAUAGGGGGGUGUAAAGGGGAGUUAUAGGGGUGAAAGAGUCGUUGGUGGGACCCAAAACCCGUUGCCCAACGGCUAUAUUUAACAUUUUAAAAAAAAACCGAACCGGACCGGACCGAGAUCGGAACCGGUAUUUACCGGACCGGGACUAACCAGUAUAUCCCGAUUUCCGUCUCGUUACCCCUCCCGGACCCACUAGACACCGGCCCUAACCGGUACAAACCGGAACGGAACCGGACCGAUAACGGCCCUAACUGGUACAAGACAAAGUAGCAUUAAGUUACGUUAUAGAUGUUUGUUCUAGAUAUUAUAUCGGUGAUGUUCAAGCUAACUUGUGCACACAUCGACUAUUCCACCAUCUCAUACUUGAUAUGUAUUGUCAAUACAAUACGAGAUAACUUUGUCACCAAGCAAUGACAGAUGUAAAGUAAGGCUACUCGAGCACCCAUUAUAUAUAUAAUUUUACCCAAACACUAUUUUUUAUAUUGGAAACUAGCAAUAACAUACAAAGAUAUUGAAUGAGCACCUAACUUUAGAAAGGUAGCAAUUCGAGUAGUUGUUGUUGAGCAUGCAUGACGUAAAAAUUAUAGGUUUGCCAUAGUUGUCAAGAUUUAGGCCGAUGAAAGAAAAUUAACUAGUGUUAUAAUCUUUAGCUAACCAAAAUUGAAAGUCAGUAAAUUCAGAAUGAACGUCAAAGUACAAGAAAAAAUGUAAAAAAGACAUCACCAUUAGAAAACACAAAUAAGAAGAACAGUUUACUAAUAAUCAUACUGCUGCAGAAUUUUGUAGUGUUGAUCACUAGCAAAGCAAACAAAAUUACAUGCAUAAUCAACGCAACGGUCAUAACAUCUAUCUAUAUAUAAAAAGAGAAGAAAAAACACCACAUGUCAGCGCCACAAAUUUUCAGAAAUUUAAAUAAUAAAGUUAGUAAUAAUAAAUGAAAACUGUAAAAAGAAAAUAUGAAAGAUGAGAUUUUAACGUUUUUUGGGGUUCUUUUAAAAAAGAUCGAAUUUGAAAAUUGUAUUUGAGAUUAUUCUUAUUGGUUGAGAUAUAUUUAAUUAUUUAAAAAUUCUAUAACUGAAAGUUACUGUGAUAAAAUUAGUAACUGAAAAAAGAUAAGUAAAAAAAAUACUCCAACAAAAGCAUGUUCCAUCAAAUUCGGAUAAACACGAUUAUCAACCGCUUCAGUUAAAAAAUUCAAAUGGAAAAAACUACCAAAGUCAUUUUUACAGCAACUCCAUCAGCAAAGUUUCAAUGAAAAAGCCAAAAAAAAUAAUCUUAUUGCCAAAGUUUUCCACUAUACAUGAAUGUCCACAAUUGCGAUUUUUGUACCUUUGUUCCAAAGCUUUCCACUAUGAUUUAAUAAAUGGGAUUUUUGUACCUUUGUUCAAAAAGAGGGGCAAUUGCGAUUUUUUGUUGUUGAUAAAGAUGAAUGAAUUCUCCAGUGUAGCAAUGUGUAAGAAACAAUAAGAUUGGAUAUUAUAAUAAUAAUGAAGAUGAAAGUUCAGAACAAGAGGAAGAUGAAGAUUAGGAAAGAAAUCAAAAAGAAGAAGAAGAAUAGCAAGAUCAGCAUUUUGCAUUAUGAAACUGUUCUACUAGCAAUGAUGAGGGAACAAAGAUGAAUGGUGAUUAAUUUUUGGUAUGUUUUUAAGUCAACUAAUGAGUAGCAUUGAAGAAUAAUUGUUCUAAGCAUAAACUAUAACUUAAUUCACUAAAGAUUAAUUAUUAGUUUGAGUUACUAUUAUUUAAAAAGAUCUCAUUAUUUUAUACUUUAAAAAUUAAAGAUUAUGAAUGUAUAUUUGAAACAUAAAAUCUAUUGCUAUUACUUAUGUAUUUUUAUCAAUGCGAAAAUUUAUAAAUAUCUUUCACAUAUUUUUUUAAUUACUAUUUAUAAUAUAAAAAGAUUAAUUUUUUUUUUAAUUGGGAUGACAAAAUAUUUUAAAGUUAAAUCCAAGGUCAUAUGUUGGUAGUUAGCUUAAACAAUACAGAAUAAGAAAUGAAAUUAUGAAUUUUUAAUUUAGAGUGGUAAAAAAUUUAAAACUUUCAUUUGCAUUACUUUCAUAUUCCUCAUUACUCUCCUUUUUGUCAACUACUUCUUUUUUAUAGCAACUUCAAACAGUUGCUGUUUAACUUAUUUCUUCAAGUAGUUUUUCAUCCAAUAAUUAUAUACAAGUAUUAAAUCACUUUAUAUAAUUAUAUAUAAUCAGUAAAUUACUUUUUCUAUUUUCUCCUUUUAAAAACAAAAGAGAUGUCCUUUCUCUUCUUUUUUUUAAUUAAGAAAACAAUUAUGAUUAUGAUACACUUAAAAAUUUAAAUAUAAGAUCAAAUAUUGUCAUUCAACACUAUUUUUUUUUAUAGAAUCCAAAUUAUUUAAGCACUUAGGAAUUUGUUUUGUGGAAAGUUUGAGCAGUUUAAAAUAACUUUCCAUAGCUACUCAUUCUUUAUAGAAAAAAAUAAAACACAAUUGUUUAGAACUCUUUUUUGGUGAGAAGUUAUUAAAUUUUUAAAAGUAAAUAUUUAAACUAAGUGAUAUGUUAAUUAAUAACAUAAUUGGAAUUUCAAAUUAUGUGAACACAAUUAAAUAUGAAAAUUGGGCAGUUAAAUUUAAAAUAAUUAUUACACACACACACACACACAUAUAUAUAUAUAUACAUUUAUCGUGUUGAAGGAAAUCUGUUUUAUUUUAAAUUGAGAAGUUUUCAAACUGAAAAAUAAGUAAAUAUUAAAAAUAUUAAGUAAAAUUGAAUUAAGAAUAUAUCACACUGCAUUUUUAAGAUAAUGCUCCAUAAAGUUAGGAACAAAAAGAAUAUUUGAAAAAGAAAAUUGAAAAAAAAAGGGUAUUAAAGAAUUUCGUAAUAAAUAAGAUUUACGCAUGUUUUUGACACAUUAUUGAUUUAUUUAAGUGAAAUAUUUAUAUAAUAAAUAAUAAUGAUGUUUAACAUGUUUUGGACGAUAUAAAUGGUUAAUAACUUAAUAUAAUAAUGAAAUAACAAUUGAGAUUUUACUAAAUCUCUAUAUACAUAUUUGUUUAAAUAAGUCAACUUAGAUGAUUUAGACAUUUUUUACAUAAUAUUAUCCGUGCAUCGCGCGGGUACGAAUACUAUUUUAUUUAAUAAGAAGUGGAGAUGGAAUAAGCUAAGUAUCAUUAAUUAAUAAAAUGUAUAAUGUAUUAAAUAGUAUAUAAUUAAUUAAAUUAGACCUAUGUCUAGUAUUUUGUUGAGAAAAUUAUUAGCACUAAGUUAUUAACAUGUUGUAGGGACACCAUUUAAUAUUAUCCACUUUUGUUCAAAUCUACAUAUACUUUCAUCUCUACCAAAAAACCCUAAUACCUGCAAACCCUAACCUCAGUAGCAGCGGCCAUGGCCAUGGCCAUAACCACCAUCGGUGAGACCAACCCCCCGAAGGGUUUUUCCCCAUUAACUUAGCAAGACAAUCCGAACCCUAUGCAACCUAACUCUGCAGGUCUAAUCCAAUGCAAUAUGCGACCAUUCUUAAACCAAGUUAUUAAUCUGACAUUAUAGAAUUGAGGAGGACAAUACUAGGUCAAUGUGGAAUCAAGAGUGAGUGCAUAAUAGAAGUCUUGGAUACAAGACAUAUACUGAUCAGACUCACGAACUUGGAAGAUUAUGUGUAUCUACUAUUUACAACAACUUUAUAUGUGAAAGCUAGAGAGAAUUAUUAGCAUAUAAGAACCCUUAAAUGUGAUCCAUAGUUUUAACUUGACGUAAAAACAACGAUCGGAGUGGCAUGGAUAUCCUUUCCUAAUCUAUCACUAAAUCAUUUUUUCAAGGAGGCAAUUUUCUCGAUACCACCAGCAGUGGAUUAACCACUAACGAUUGACAUAGCCAUGAAAAAUCGAACUAGACCUAGUUAUGCUAAAGUCAAAAUAGAGAUGGCCAAAUUACCACAAGGGUUAGAACCACUAAGGAGAAUGAUAUCACGAGGGUUAUAAAAUACAAAUAGAUUAAGGUGCAAUAUGACUACAUGCCCAAAUACUGUAAAAAAAAAUAUUGUUAGCAAGAUCAUAAUGACCAUAGUUGUCAGAGAACUCAUCCAAAAUUAUAUGAAACAAGGGAGCAGGAAAUAGGAAAAAGAUGGCAUCAAAACGUUGAAGACAUAUAGUGGGGGGAACAUAACAGAGUUUUGAUAAGUGGAAUAGUGGUAGGAAAGAAUGGAUGGUCAGAAGAAGGAAUAAGUAUAAGAGGGAUAAAUAUGGGAACAUUAAAGGGGGAAAUGACAUUCAAGAUGAGAAUUCCUUCGAGGCAAUGAAGGGUGAGGAAGAGUUGGACAAAGUGGAAGAGGAAGUUAAAAAUAUUGAAGGAAGCACAAAAGAAUAUGUGAACUAAAACUUUGAUAAAAUACAACAGGAGACCAUUCAGAAAGAAGGGGAGGAGAAAGUUGAUACAAAUGGGACCAACAUGAGUCGGGACAAUAAGGCAGAAAGAAAACAGGAAAGGAAAGUAGAGUUAUCACCACAACAUAAUCCAAGUGAAGAAGAUGCAAAUAUAGAAGGAGGAGGAGAAUAUAGAGAAAGCCUUAGUUAGUGGUAGCGAAAGUUAAUAAUAAAUGAGCUGGUGGUAGAUCAUGGCAGUCAUGAAGAAGUAUUGGAACCAAAAAAGGGGAAGUAUGGACAAACAUGAUUUAUCACAAAACAAUUCAAAGGUGACUAGAGAAGGAGAUUUGCCGCUUGAACAAAUAGACAGAAUAAAGGAGACUCGUGUCAAGCAAAGGAAACAAGGAGGAGAAGAAAUCACUACUAUUCAAGCAUCAUCAAGACAAUCAAAGAGAACAAUUGUCAAAAACGCUAAAUAUCUGUGAGAACCUUAAUAUGGAAUAUCAGGUUGGCAAACACUCAAAACAUGCAUGUUUACUAGACUGAUAAAUAUGCAUGAAAGAUACCAAUUUUACAUGACUGGAUUUAUAGAAUCUUUUGAAGAUAGUCAACAACUAGAGUAGCUUAGAAGGAAGUUGGGGAUGAAGUAGGCAAAGGCGGACACAAAUUGUAAAAUUUGGGUUUUUAUUGAUGAAAUUGUGGAAUAUGAAAUAGUAAGGGAUGAAGAGAAAAUGAUAAAUUUUAAACUGCAAAAUCAAGCAUUAGGCAUUGAAGUGAUGAUAUCACUAGUGUAUGUUAACUGUACACAAAGUGAAAGAUUGCAAUCAUGGAAUUUGAUGUCUAAUAUCAGUACUAAUGAGGAAAAAUUGGGGGGUAACAGAGAUGGAGGUUAGAGAUUUUAAUCAUUGUCUUAAUGUGUGUAAUCUGAAAGAUAAAAAAAAUUCAAGGGUAGCAAGUACACAUGGUGGAAUAGCAGAACUGAUACAGAGUGUAUUUUCAAAAGAUUGGACACGGGUAGUGAGUAAUGAUAGAUUGAUAACUAUUUUUCUGAUUCUUGAGGUGGAACAUGUGGUGAGAAAUGAGUCGGAUCAUACUUCUUUAGUGAUCACUUUCAAAAAAAAUAAAGAGAAUGUGAUUAAGCCCUUUAAAUUACUAAAUAUUUGGUUAAGCGAGAAGUCUUUCAUGAAGGUGAUAAAAGAACAUUGGCAUGUUAAUUUUGAAGGGGAGUUGUUUAGUUUAUUUCAUCAUACAUUGAAAAAGGUGAAGAAAGUAUUGACUCAAUGGAGUAAGGACACUUCUGCAAUAUUUUCUUAGGAGAUAAUCACUUUAGAAGAAGUCAUUAAAGUACAUGAAUCUCAUAUUGAAGUGGAUCCGUCUAGAGCUAAUAAAGAGAAAUUGUAUCAAGCCCAAGCAGAGUUAAAGAAGCAACUGUUUAGGGAGAAAGAAUUCUGAAAACAGAAAAAGUAGCAUAAAGUGGUUUAAAAGUGGGGGGCUGCCAAGAUUCUCCACGCACAAAAACUUAAUCCUAUUAAGAAAAUUAUUGUGAAUAAUUUCUCAAACUCGCGGCCUAUUUUGUUAAGUAAUUUCAUGAUUAAGGUCUUUUGAAGAAUUAUUCAUGAGAGGCUUAAAACAGUAUUGUCCAGGAUUAUCUCUUUAGAACAAGUUGAUUUUGUACAAGGAAGGAGUAUAACUAAAAAUGUUUUAUUAAUGCAAAAAAUUAUUUUAGAGAUUCGGAAAAGAGGUAAGCCAUCAAACUUGUAUAUGAUGAAAGCAUAUGAUAGAGUUGAGUGGUUAUUUUUGAUGAAGGUGUUCAGAAGGAUUGGCUUUUGAGAGAGGAUCAUUGAUAUGGUCUAUAAGGUUGGUUAGUAAUAACUAGUACUCAGUUUUACUGAAUGGACAACCUAAAGGCUUCUUUAAAUCUUUUAGAGGAAUUAAGUAGGGAGAUCCUCUAUCCCCUACUCUUUUUAUACUUGCAGCUGAAGUAAUGUUUUGUCAGUAAUGAAUUCAUCAAGCAAUGUUCUAAACCAAAUUCAAUGAUGACUGAAUUCUUUUGCACUGAAGGUAGAUGACAUUUGCAACACCCAGUAAAUGUAAAGGUCAGUUGGAAGGUGAAAGGGUUGUAGAUUGGUGUAAAAAGUUGCACAUGUACAGACUGUAGAAGGUUGUAUGGAUCUUGAGUACCAAUCAUGGUUUGAUAGUUGAAAAUAUGGAAAAUGUCAAGUCUCAUAUGUAUUCCACGAGCCAACAGUAUGGUUCGUGAAUGGAUCUACGAGUUGUGGAUGGAGUUCCACACUGAGUGAUAUUUUGACACCUUGAGUUUUAUACAUAGCUUGUACGGACCAUACACUGAAAUACGGGACGUAAAGGACUCUCGUAGUUGGUCUUUAGAAAGUUAAGUACUCUCAAUGAUUCGUUUACGACUUUCCAGUACAACCCGUCAAAAAAGGUACAAACCAAACUUGACAUUAAUGGUUCGUAGGCCUAAGGAUAUAUGCCUCUGACUUAGGGUCAGUAUACAAGAAAGGGUACGACUCGUGGUUUCCAUGACGGGUUUCUAGUUAGUGAUCCAUGUAGGACAAGUACGAUAUGUGGCCUAACGUACGGACCGUACAUGGGUCUGUAGAGUAUCAUUAUCUCAACAAAAAAAUAGUUAUUUUUAAAAAUUAAAAAAUGAAAGUAUCUUUAGUUGUUAGUUAAAAAAUAAAAAAUUAAAGUAUUAUUGUCUCAACAAAAAUUAUUCUUACCCCACUCCAUCACCUCCUCCCACCGUACCCUUAAUACACCCCACAUCUAUUUUUUUUUAAAAAAACUUUAAUUUUCUUUUACAAAAGGCAUUUUAAAAGAAUAUUUCUCCAUCCCCAAACCCACCUAAUCCUUCACUUUCUUUUUUGUAUUUCUCAUUUUGUUUUAGAUAUAUACAUAUGUUUUUAAGUAAUUAUUCUAUUUACCACAAGAUAUUUUAAUAAAUAAACUAUUCAUUUCUAUUAUAUUUGUUAUCUAAGUAAAAAUAAAAUAAAAAUAAUAUAUAUAUAUAUAACAUGAAAAAAUAAUAUUAAAAAAUUGAGAACAUAGGGAUAAAUAAGGUGGGGUAGAAGUUGGUUUUAAAAAAAAUAAAAAUGAUAUCUAAAAAUAUUGGGAAGGAUUGGUUGGUUUGGGGAGGGAGGUCGAAGUAAAAAAAAAAUAGAAAACAAUCGAGUAAGGAGAGGAGGGGAGGGGGUAAUGUCGAGGGAUACAGGAGGUUGGGGGCUGGGGGGAGAUGGAGGAGUGGGUAAGAAAAAUAUUUUAAAUUUUAUUUUAUCGAAUAAUAAUUUCUUUUUUAUUAGAUAGCAAUAUUUUAGUUUUUAGCUUUUAAUUAAUAUUAAUAGUUUAUUUAAUUUUUAUUCAGGUGGAAUAUUUUAUCAAGGUAGAAUGCCAUGUGACGAGGCUUUUUUUAAAUAAAGGAGAGUAUAUUACACAUCAAUGAGGUAUAUUUUUCAAACUAAUAAGUGAUAGUUUAAGUAUGAAACUCGUUUAAGUGUGUUUUUGACACUUCCCCUUUAAAUAACUAAAUUAACAGCACAAAACAAUAGUAAAAUAAUGUAGAAUUGCUUUUGAAAUAUGUACAUGAGACAUUUGCCCUCUACCACCAAAAAGUACAGAGAAAUAUACUAUUCAAACCAGCAAAAAAACUUUUGCCAUUACCCACCAGUUCACCAAAUUGUCAAAAGACAAUACCAAUUAAAUCUCUAAAGUUGUGGCACUGCAGGGGGGUUAUACGACAUAACCAGGUAGACGGUGCUGAAUUCGUGCAAACUGCAACGUGUAGAGCUAUGUUCUUUAGACCCGUUUUCGUAUAAGCUAAAAUCUCCAUGUGCAAUUUCUCCGUUACAAUAGGUUCCUGAGAAGGUAACCCCAGGGAAGUUCUCCAAGAAAGGUGAG